GUCAGCGCUCCUCGAGGGAUUCUCUCUGUGGGGAAAGGCCAAAGUAGGCGCUGGGGUGAGAUCUGGGGUGCUGGGGUGGGAUCUGGGGCACAGGGGUGAGAUCGGGCUUACAGGGGUGGGAUCUGGGGCUCUGGGGUGCUGGGGUGGGAUCUGGGUUACAGGGGUGGGAUCUGGGGCGCUGGGGUGAGAUCUGGGUUACAGGGGUGAGAUCUGGGGUGCUGGGGUGAGAUCUGGGGAUCUGGGUUAAAGGGGUGGGAUCUGGGUUACAGGGGUGAGAUCUGGGGUGCUGGGGUGAGAUCUGGGUUACAGGGGUGAGAUCUGGGGUGCUGGGGUGAGAUCUGGGGCGCUGGGGUGAGAUCUGCGUUACAGGGAUGGGAUCUGGGGUGCUGGGGUGAGAUCUGCGUUACAGGGGUGAGAUCUGGGGUGCUGGGGUGAGAUUUGGGUUACAGGGGUGAGAUCUGGGGUGCUGGGGUGAGAUCUGGGGUGCUGGGGUGCUGGGGUGAGAUCUGGGUUACCAGGGGUGGGAUCUGGGGCGCUGGGUGAGAUCUGGGUUACAGGGGUGGGAUCUUGGCUGCUGGGGUGGGUUCUGGGUUACAGGGGUGAGAUCUGGGUUAGAGGGGUGGGAUCUGGGGUGCUGGGGUGAGUUCUGGGUUACAGGGGUGGGAUCUGGGGCACAGGGGUGGGAUCUGGGGUGCUGGGAUGGGAUCUGGGUUACAGGGGUGGGAUCUAGAGUGCUGGGGUGAGAUCUGGCUUACAGGGGUGAGAUCUGGGGUGCUGGGGUGGGAUCUGGGGCACAGGGGUGGGAUCUGGGGUGCUGGGGUGAGAUCUGGGUUACAGGGGUGGGAUCUGGUUUACAGGGGUGAGAUCUGGGGUGCUGGGGUGAGAUCUGGGUUACCAGGGGUGGGAUCUGGGGUGCUGGGCUGAGAUCUGGGUUACAGGGGUGAGAUCUGGGGUGCUGGGGUGAGAUCUGGGUUACAGGGGUGGUAUCUAGGGUGCUGGGGUGAGAUCUGGGGCUUACAGGGGUGAGAUCUAGGGUGCUGGGGUGAGAUCUGGGUGACAGGGGUGAGAUCUAGGUUACAGGGGUGGGAUCUGGGGCUCUGGGGGUCUGGGGUGGGAUCUGGGGCACAGGGGUGGGAUCUGGGGUGCUGGGAUGGGAUCUGGGUUACAGGGGUGGGAUCUAGAGUGCUGGGGUGAGAUCUGGCUUACAGGGGUGAGAUCUGGGGUGCUGGGGUGGGAUCUGGGUUACAGGGGUGAGAUCUGGGGCGCUGGGGAGGGAUCUGGGGCACAGGGGUGAGAUCGGGCUUACAGGGGUGGGAUCUGGGGCUCUGGGGUGCUGGGGUGGGAUCUGGGUUACAGGGGUGGGAUCUGGGGUGCUGGGGUGAGAUCUGGGUUACAGGGGUGAGAUCUGGGUUGCUGGGGUGGGAUCUGGGUUACAGGGGUGAGAUCUGGGUUACAGGGGUGGGAUCUGGGUUACAGGGGUGAGAUCUGGGGUGCUGGGGUGAGAUCUGGGUUACCAGGGGUGGGAUCUGGGGUGCUGGGGUGAGAUCUGGGUUACAGGGGUGGGAUCUGGCGUGAUGGGGUGAGUUCUGGGUUACCAGGGGUGGGAUCUGGGGUGCUGGGGUGAGAUCUGGGUUACAGGGGUGGGAUCUGGGGUGCUGGGGUGAGUUCUGGGGCUUACAGGGGUGAGAUCUGGGGUGCUGGCGUGGGAUCUGGGUUAAAGGGGUGAGAUCUGGGUUACAGGGGUGGGAUCUGGGUUACAGGGGUGAGAUCUGGGGUGCUGGGGUGAGAUCUGGGUUACAAGGGGUGAGAUCUGGGGCGCUGGGGCCAGCUGAAGCACGGGAGCAGGGGAAGCCUGCUGCCUUACCUGCCAUGACAGCUGGAGAGUGGCAGUUAGGGGAGCCCCUCCCCCCACGGGGGGUUGCGUGACCGUUGGGGUCAGCCCCUUUCCCCCAGGCUUGAGGUGGUUUGAUUUUUCGUAGGCAAACAUCCUUCCCAUCCCAGUUGUUUCCCAUUCCAAUGAUCACUGACCCUCCCAAUGGGCAUUUUGCAGCGCAGUGCUCUUCCUUCCCAAGGGCCUCCCGUCCCAGUGGAAGUUGACCAUCCCUGCAAUGAGUUCUCACCCCUUGGGACAGUUUUCUCUCUGAGGGAGGAUAUUCGGGCCCAGUGGUUUCCCACUGUCACCAGCCAACACUGGGUGGGGUUACCCGGGCCUUUAGCAGUGGAGGUGAGCCAGCGUUAUCUGUAGGGCUCAGAGAUGGAGGGGCUGUCAGUGAUCGAUGACCACAGUAACUGGAGGCAGCAAAAAGGCACUGUGAGGUGGCCAUCCUCUGCACCAUUGCAGUGGAGACAGAUUGGCACUGGUUUGGAUUGGUCUGUGUUCGAAGGGUGGGCUAUGGGGUGGAAUUGGCUGGACAGUCGCAGCCAGAGAGCUGUGCUCAAUGGCUGUGUGUCCGGGUGGAGGCGGUCACGAGUGGUGUCCUAAUGAUGUUCAGCAAAGCCAGGGCAAGGUCUGUGAGGGGCAGAGAGACUCUGGAAAGCGUCCUGGGAUUGCUUCUGUGCGGCAGUUGGGGGCCUUGGGGAGUGGGGGGCCUGUGCUGGUCUGUCUGUAGGAGUCUGUAAGGAGGGCUGUGGGGCUGUUUCUGAGGUGGAAGUGAGGGGUUUUGUGUGC
ensembl:lncRNA